GUAGAAAUGGAGUUCGCUGGAUUUCCUAUAAGGAAGCCAACAAGUAAAUUAUAUCACAAAAUCGUAUUUAUUUUAAAGGACCCAGAGCCAAUUUUUUAAACUUUAUUCAAUUUUGAAAAAGUUAAAAAUUAUUUUUAAUGUUUAAAUUACCAUUUUAAGGGUAGUAUUUUCACACUGAUCUACUACCCGAUACUAAUUUAUAGGGAGGGGUGGUAACUUUUUACUGACAAAAAUAACUUUAUAGAAAUAGUGAUAAUUCAUUGUCAGUGUAAUAUUUUCAUAAACCCCUUUUUUUUUUUUUUUUGUUAAACAAAUUAUUAUACAACAGUAUUCUACAGGCCACAUUAAACUCCGAUUUCAAAUAAUGAGGGGAAAAAAAUGGUUAAAAAAAGCUUAAAAUUUACUUUUUUAAAAGACUCAUUAUAAAUGUUGAGAAUAAAAUAUUGAAACAUGUAAUUUAAUGCGGUUUUUAGAAUGUUUUAAUCUAAUAAUUUCAAAAAAAAAUUUGUAGUUGAUUCUACUGAAUACUACCACUAUUUCUGUAAAGUUUAUUUUUGUGAACAAGACAUUGGCCCUGGGUGCCUUAACGUAAAUGGUUUACUUAGCGUUUGCAGAACUAUAUACCUAAUUUAUAUAGAUUUUUUAUCUGAAUAUAAUAAUAUUAUAAUAAAUGCAUCUACCCCUCACAUCCAUUUACAUAUGUAAUAACAUAAUGUAUACUAUUUUACUGUUGGUUUUAUUAUUAUUAUAGAUUUAAAGAUGUGCUAUAGGUUAAAUAUAUCUUUACCUUAAUAUUAUGAAAAUUAAAUCUAUACAAUUAUUUUAUAUUAUGUUGUUUGCCGUUUAGAAUUCUUUGGGAUAAAAAAAGGGAAAAGCAAUUCCACCCUUCUUAAGGAAAUGAAUAAAGGUAUGUAGAUUUCUAAGUGUAUAUAAAUAUAUUGAUAUUAUAUCUCUGGAAACUGGAAAAAAGGACCUAAGCCAAUUUUUGCUAUUUUGUAUUUCAUAUAGUUUUGUCAUAAAAAGGUUACAAGGAAAAAAAAAUCAGAAAAAGUAACUUUUUAGUGAACAUAGACGCUUUGCAUGUUAUAUUUUAAUGUGAUUGUUAUUAAUUUAUCAUGCGUUUCAAACAAAAUUCAAUUCUGUUAACUAUAUUUCAAAAUUCAAAAUUUAACUUAAUUCAAACUAUUCUCUAAAAAAAAAAUAUUGUCAAGAAAAAUUGUGUACAUUUAUGGUGAUUAGUUUAUCACGAAACAUAGAUUAACUAGGAAGAUAAAAUAGAUUGUGAGCUAUGGUGAGAUUUAUCAGUGUUUAUGAAAGUACAUUUACUGUGUUUAUACAGACAUAAUAAUAUUUAUAGAUGAUUAGUAUCAUUAGAAAACAACUACUUGUAUAAUUAAUGACUAUUAUAGAGUACUCUUAACCUAACCUAAACUUUUUGCAUUUUAUAAUGUUUUUCUAACACUUAAUCAAUACCUUUUCUUUAAGUAUAUUUACUCAAUCCAAUUUAACCAAACCCAACCCGUCAUUUAUGUUUAUACGAUAACAGUAACCUAAUAAAGGUGUUUGCAAUUUCAUUUUUGUCACCAAUCGCCUUGCAAAUAAUUAUACUAGAAAAUCACUGAAAUCAAUGUAAUGUUCAGGACGUUUUGUUCUUAACAAUUGACAGUUACUUCGUUUAAUCCAUACCAUAUUGCAACUGUUAUAGUAUUAUAAUAUUUAAGAUUAUGACCUCUGAGUAUGAAAUAUUUUACUUGAAUUAUCACACUGAUUGAAAUAUUGAAACAUUUAUUACGUAUACCUCUCAUAUAUUAAGUGUACACAUUUGUCAAUACCUAUACUUCUUUAUAUUUUACUCCUUAUAUUUUAAGAAACAAUCUUCUCGUGAACUUCAAGCCGAUCACUAAGAGAUAAGUGACAAUUAUUAUAUUAUUGUGAUGGGAAAUUAAUUAAAGAAAACAUACGUAGGGAUUUAAUAAGGUUUUUACGGUAGGUAAUAGUCCACCAUUAGCCUAACCUGAUGGUUGGUAUGAUACAUAUUUACAUAGACAUAACUUACAUUCAGUCACUAUUAAUAUGAUACAAUAAAAAACCAUUUUUACACACACUAUAACAAUUGUACAACAUAUUACGUCAGGAGUCUAUUCAGUAUCAUACCCGAUUCAUUGCGCAUUGUGUUAAGGCUGCUGUCGACCAGCAUUUCGGUAGAUGCACGUGUUGCACAUCUUAUUUACAAAUUAUAUUUUGUCUUACACCCAACAUAUUAUUAUAUUAUACUUAAUUCAGUCAAAUAAGACUAAAAAAGGGGCAAUUUUGUAAUCUAAAUCAUAAAAAGCUACGAGCUGGAUCGUUCAAUAUCUUAAGUAGUUAUCUACCGUAGUAUCUAUUAGUUUUCAAUUUAUGAUUAUUUGUUUCUUUUUCAAAAUGAAAUAUUUCAAAAAAAAAAAUCGUAUGAACUUUAAGAACAUUAAUUAUAUUAUUUACAAUAUAUUUUUCUAAUUUACAGAAACAUUAAUGAUAAACAAUUAUACCGGUAAGCCAAAUUGAGCCAAUUAUCAUACUGUUUUUGCACAUACUUAUUAUUGACCAAAAUGUAUAUUUCAAAUACACGUAAAUAGAACAUAAUAUUAUUUAUAAUACAACUAUUCUUAAUACUGAUACUAUUUUAAAUAAUACUAAUGAUAAUAAAAUAGUCAAUCAAACAGAAUGUGUCUACAAAAACUUUGUACUUUUAUUUUUUACUCAUUUAUUGAAAAAUAAACUUCUCCAUUAAUUAAGUUGUAUAAAUAUAGUUUUAUGCUUAAAAGUGUCCGAAAAAGUAUAAUAGGGUUACUUUAUUACGUAUAUGAUAACACGAUUAAACGUAUGUAUAAAAUAUCGUGUUAUGUAUGAUUAAUAUGUAAGAGAUAAGAUAACCAUUCAGAAUAGUAACGUGAAUGAUGAUACAAAUGAGAAUUAGAUAAUCGUGAUUAGAAUGAUAAUACGGUGAGAGGAGACGCUAGCCGUGGUAUAAAUAUAACACCAGUUUGGGCGACCGUAUCAUAGGUUUAGCACCUGAGUUAGAACUGUCCUUUUCAAUCUACUAACAAUGGCUGAGCGUUAUAUAAAAUGUCUAUCAUAUAUUGUGAAAUGUAUAUUUCAUUUAGGUAGUAUUAAAUUAUAAUUGAUGCAUUUAGCGGAUACAAUUAUUCAGCUAUUUAUGUGUUAAUUCAUAGGUUUAAUUAGAUAUGACUCAAAUAAUAUUAUCAAAAUAAUUUGAAUAAUAUAAUUUCAUUAAAUAAAGGAUUUAUUUAGUUAAAAAGGGUUAUAUUUGUUAGAUAUGUUUGAUAUAAUUUUUUUUUUUUUUUAAAUUUAAAUACUAAUAGUAUUACCUACCGUGUACUAAUGAAUCAGCAGACCUCGCGAGUAUCCACUGGCGCUAUAAAAGGCGAUCGGAAUAAAUUAAGAACAUGUAAAAAAUACCCAAAUUUUAUACUGUUUUCUGUAUUAUAUUCAUAUAUCUCUGAUAUUACAAAUAAUAUAGUAUUAUCCGUUUGUUAUAUUAUAUCCCAUUUUUUUUAUUUCUAGGUUGCGUUUACAUUUUUGUAUUUAAAUACUACCACGGCAUAAUAGAUCGUAAGUCAUUUUUCAUACAUUACGUAUUAAAUAAAUCUGAGACACUAAAAAAACAAGUUUAGACCAUAUGUAAUUAAAUAACAAAUGGAAAAUUAAUAUGUCAAUUUGUGGUAUAAUGCAAAUAUUAGCGCUGCAGAAAUCCAUAAAUCUACAGCAUUGUGAUAAAUUUACCGUAGGUAUGUACACUUUACUCAUGUUAUAGGUACAGGUAUCUAUAACAUGGUUAAUAAUACAAAAAAGACUGAAAUGGAAUAAAAAUUGUUAAUGAUUAAUCUAUCUUUUAGUUCAAUUCCGUAUAAAAAAAAAUUGAAUUUUAUUUUUUGUAUUCGGUUUACUUUUAUAUGAUGUAUGUUGUUUUUCUAUCUGUGAAUAAUUUUUCUACCAAAAACCUUAUUCUGAUUAUCGAGUGAAGAAUCUUUUCUAAAAAAAAUUUUGUCUAUUUGAUGCUUCGUGUAAGUCAUUUUUUAAUUUUUCUUGUGUUGUUUUAGUAAUUAGUAAAUCAUGAAAAUUAACGUAAUAGCGGUUUCUAUUACUUUGUUUUAUUUUUUUGUUGUAGUUAGGCUAGAAAUAAUUAUAGAUAGUUGAUAUUUACCAAAUAAUUAUAUUAGUAAUUUGUAAGUGAGGUACAAUUGUCUCAACUUUCUAUACAUUUUUAAGCUGCUUAUAGCUAUUUGAAAUCAUAGUUUUUCUUUGUUUUUAUUUGGAUUUAUGUAGAUAAAAUUCUUUAUACAUUUUUAAUUAAUACUAUUAGUUUAUACAACUUAUAGUAGAGCUCGGAAAUUUAAUACUAAAAACUACAAAAAAGCGCUUAAACCCAUCAAAAAAGCAAUUUAAAAUUUAAAAAAAUGGAAGAUGGGUUCUUCAACAAAAAUUGUUUUGAAUUAAAUUCUAAGUAUUAUAAAAAAAAAAUAACUGUGAAUCAUUUUUUUUAGUGUUAAAAUAUAUUAUUUUAUAAGUUCAAGCAAAUAGAGAAAAAACCUUAAAAUUCGUUUUUGCUUUUAUAAAUUUUGAAAUGUUUUUUUGACGUUUUUUAGGGAUUUUUUCGUAGAUUUUAAAUGCUAUCAGUCCCUAGUCCUAUUUAUAAGUUAUAAUUUAUAAAUGUCCUAUGUUUCAGUGGAUUGGAGACAACGUGUACCGUAUAAAAAGUACAAUUUAGGGACAGAUCAUAUAAUUAAAUUAUUACAUUUUUAUUUCCAACAUUUUUAGGAGGUAAUUUAAAUAAUUUAAAGUAAAUUAACGUAUUAUUGUCUAGUUUAAAGGUCUCAACCUAAAUUUACACAGUCUCCAAUCCUUUUAAUCCUCCUAAUCCUAUACCUGCUAUACCUAUUAGAUGCAUGAGUACAUAAUAUAGUCUUGAUAAAUAAUAAUAUUAAUGGUACCUUACUAAACCUACAUUAUUCGUAAAAUAUAGUUGAUUAUUAACAACUAGAUAUAAGAAUAAGAGAAGAGAAUGUAAAAAAUAACAUAAAUAUAUUUCAAUUAUUUUUUAGACGAUAUUGAUGAUACAAGAAAGUGGUGUAAAAUGAAUUGUACGUAACUACUGUACGGUUUUUGAUUUCUUCUACUCGAAAUUAACGUGAAAUUUAUUUUAUUUUAUCGAAAUUAUUUUCUAUAAUUAUAGUAUAAUAUUAUUGUUACUAAUAGUAUUGUUUAAUAA
rnacentral:lncRNA from 1 species